CUAAGAAUCUUCCACAAUGGACGGAAGUCUGAUGGAGCGACGCCGCGUGGACGAUGAAGGCCGUGGGGUUGUAAAGUCCUUUUCGGGAGGGGGAAUAACCGCGGGAGGGAAUGCCCGCGGGAUGACGUGAAUCCCGGAAUAAGCCCCGGCUAAUUACGUGCCAGCAGCCGCGGUAACACGUAAGUUGCGAGCGUUGUUCGGAAUUAUUGGGCGUAAAGGGUAUGUAGGCGGUUCUGCAAGUCUGGUGUGAAAUGCCGGGGCUCAACCCCGGAACUGCGUUGGAAACUGCAGGACUUGAAUCGCUGAGGGGCAGCCAGAAUUCCAGGUGUAGGGGUGAAAUCUGUAGAUAUCUGGAAGAAUACCAAUGGCGAAGGCAGGCUGCCAGCAGAUGAUUGACGCUGAGGUACGAAGGUGCGGGGAGCAAACAGGAUUAGA
rnacentral:rRNA from 1 species